GGAAAUCUACUAUCCUGCAGCUUUUAGAUAAAACCCUUCUCCAACACACCGGAAUCAAUGACCGCCUCGUUAUCAGGCCUCUGCACAGAUGAAUAACAUCUGGAUGAGGGGAUUCAACCCUGGUGUAAAAUAUUAAUUAUAGGGCACAGCUGGAGGAAUUCUCUAAUAACUGAACACUGCUGGGGUCUGUAUGUGUUAGUCUCAGUCAGAUCUGAUACAAACAGAGCAGACAGUCAACCCGAGCACAAAUCCCUGCCUCAGCAGAGCUCUCAUGACGUAGGAAACCAGAUGAAGACAGACCACAUAACCUACGCUGAAGGGAAACUGCUUUGUUUACUAAACCCAGCGGUCGCGGGCGGGACGAAGGUUAGUUCAACUUUCCAGCUCAUGAGGUAAAUAAGUCCUUAAAAGCUUUGAAAGAGGUCAGUAAAAUGUUUAAAUCUGUUCUGGCAGCCUUGUUCCACACCAGUAUGAAGAUCCACUAACUUUAGUGGAUGUUUUUAUUUCAGAAAGAACCCCUCCUCCUCUUCCUCCUCCUCCUCCUCCUCCGUUCGUGUUGGUGUGUGCUGCAUCCGUCAGUGGUCUGGUCGCUUUGACUUUACUGCUUGCAUUGGUUCCACGAUGCCUUCGAGGAAAACCAAAAGCCUGGUCGUGUUUGGCUAAAGACGAGGGCGUCACGGAUCACAUCACAUACUGUCAGCUCCACCUAUCGCCUCACCAGGAGCCAAUCAGGAGACGAGAAAACAGCCCUGACGUCAUCUACAGCGAAGUGAGAAGAGGUGAAGAAGUUCAUGAUGAAGAAGCCGGAACUGACAGCAGUACCUCAAGUCUCCAGCAGGGGGAGGCGUACUCCGUCUCCCACACUUAAUCCUGAUGAUCUGCUUUUCUUCAUCCACAUCUCCCACAGCUCCUCUUUAAAAUAAUUACCUUAACAAACGUGGAAAACAACCAACUUGUUAUCUGUAGCUUUGACUCCUUUCUUUUAUUUAUUCUGUGCUCUGGAUUUCAUAUUUAUAUUUAUUUAAAGAUGCUGCCAUUAUGUUUGAUAACCACCUUAACGGGUGUUAAAGUCAUCAUGUUCUCAUCUCAGAUGGUUCUCUGGGGUCAAACCCUUUCUUUUUAGGAGUGACAUGGAAUCGGUAAUCCACGCUUUUAUAACCUCCCGGUUGCAUUACUGUGACUCUCUUUUACCAGGAAUUAGCCGGAUCCACUCUGUUACACCUCCAGUUAGUGCAAAAUGAGGCAGGUACAGGGAAAAAAGAGCACAUCCGUCCGCUGUUAGCUUCAUUGCACUAGCUUCUUAUUUAUUUUAGGGUCCUUUUUAAAGUUCUUUUAUUAGAUUUUAAGUCUCUUAAUGGUCUUCCACAUAUUUAGCUUGCUGCACCCCUACACCACUUCUCGCUCCCUCCGGUCAGCUGACCAGAUGCUGCUGCUGAUUCCCAGUCACAAAGGAAAAUGAGAGGUGAUCCAGCUUUUCUGUUGUGGCCUCAGAGCUCUGGAACCAGCUUCCUCUGCACAUAAGACGAGCUCCCUCAGUUGAUGCUUUAAAUCUGGUUUGAAAAAAAUGACUUGUGGGGUCUUGUGUGUUUUAUUUCUGUACUCCAUGUUAUUAGUUGCAGCACUUUGGUCAACCAUGUGAUGUUUUUUUAAUGUGCUAUAUAUAUAAAACUGUUAUGGUAUGGUGUAUUUUUUUAUUUAUUUUUUUUAUUAAAUGAAGCAAUGUUUAGCUAACCAGAGUAUUUGUGAAUGUUUGAUAGAAUUAAACCCAAAACGUGUCUGGAUUUGGUU